rnacentral:rRNA from 1 species
AUUGAACGCUGGCGGCAGGCUUAACACAUGCAAGUCGAGCGGGGUGAUGGUGCUUGCACUAUCACUUACCGGCGGACGGGUGAGUCAUGCUUAGGAAUCUGCCUAUAAGUGGGGGACAACAUGUAGACAGGGAUGCUAAUACCGGAUACGUCAUACGGGAGACAGCAGGGGAUCAAUUGUGCCCUUGCGCUAAUAGAGGAGGCUAGGUAGGAUUAGGUAGGUGGUGGGGUAAAGGCCUACCAAGGCGACGAUCUGUAGCGGGUAUGAGAGGAGGAUGCGCCACACUGGGACUGGGACACGGCCCAGACUCCUACGGGAGGCAGCAGUGGGGUAUAUUGGACAGUGUGGGGAACCCUGAUCCAGCCAUGCCGCGUGUGUGAAGAAGGCCUUAUGGUUGUAAAGCACUUUAAGCGAGGAGGAGGCUCUUUUGGUUAAUACCCAAGAUGAGUGGACGUUACUCGCAGAAUAAGCACCGGCUAACUCUGUGCCAGCAGCCGCGGUAA